rnacentral:rRNA from 1 species
UCUACGGCCAUACCACCCUGAACGCGCCUGACCUCGUCUGAUCUCGGAAGCUAAGCAGGGUGGGGCCAGGUUAGUACUUGGAUGGGAGA